GCAGCGGGCCAGGCCUGGGGGAGGAGGGAUGCCCAGGAAGGCAAAGCUGCCCUCGGUGGGCGAGGGUGGGAGCCCGGGCCCAGGUUUCACGGCUGCCCUGGGUGCUGAAACCCAGGGAGCACUGGCCCCCCCAGUCGCAGGUCAGCAGGCUCUGGAUGGUGGCCACGCAGCCCAGACAGGACUCCCGGGAGCACAAGCCUGACCCCCAGUGCAGUGUGGGCCUCGCAAGGCUGUGAGCCGUCCGUCUCAGGGCUGUGGGAGCACACAGGUCAGGGAGGCAGGACGGGGCCCAGCUCCAGGCACACGCACACCCCUUUCUCGCAGGGUCGACUGGAACAGAGCUGCCCCCGGGCGCUCUCUGGCCUGGCGAAGUGGGAGCUGUCUUCCCUACGCAUCUGGGCUGGCUGCCUGCUGCUGAUGGAAGAGCUGCUCCUCCUGACCUGGGGCCACAGAAGCCCCCUCCCUGCCCCUGAAACCCCUCCCAGCAUGUCGUGAGCUCUUAUCCCCAGUACGGAAUCUGCCUCCGCUAUGAACACCUGCAAAGGUUUGUGUGCUGAACGGAGGUGUGCGCGGCGGUCAUCUCUGGUCUCUCCACAGAGUGGGUUUUCUAUCGUGACUCGCGGUGGAAUCGGACCUUCACGCACACAGAAUUCAGCAAGGCUGCCAGGUCUUUGCUCUGAAGGAGCCGCAGGUUGGCUGCGGGGCUGUGAAGUGGCCCAGGCUGCCACGGACACCCACAACUUUCCCGGCCAAAGGCCAAAGGAAACCAAGGAAGGAGCCCAGAAUACUCAGGGCCCAGAGCUCGAGGAGAGGCCUGAGCCGGAGGAGCCAAGGAGGCGCCCACGUGCCCAGCUGAGCCCUGAACUGAAGGAGCCGAGGAGGGUCCAGGAAGAGCUCGGAGGGCCCCGUAGACACGGCUGAGCCCUGAACAGGAGCCUCAGAGGGGCCCAUGUGCCCGGCUAAGCUCUGAACCAGCCGACUGCAAGCUGCGGACAAUGAUGAAAACGCGCUGUGGCCAGCCUGGGCUCACCCUUCAGCCAGCACCGUGGGAGGCCGAUGCGGGAGGGUCCGUUGAGGCCAGAAGUUCAAGACCAGCCUGGGCAACGUAGUGACACCUCAUCUCUAUAAAGAAUCUUUAAAUGAGGCCCUGUGUGGUGGCGCACGCCUGUCAUCCCAGCACUUUGGUAGGCCGAGGUGGGCGGAUCACCUGAGGUCAGGAGUUCGAGACCAGCCUGGCCAACAUGGAGGAACCCCGUUUCUACUAAAAAUAUGAAAAUUAACUGGGCGUGGUGGCACAUGCCUGUAAUCCUAGUUACUCAGGAGGCUGAGGCAGAAGAAUCACUUGAACCCAGGAGGUAGGGGUUGCAGUGAGUCGAGAUCACGCCACUGCACUCCAGCCUGGGCAACAGAGCAAGACCCUGUCUCAAAAAAAAAAAAAAAAAAAAAAAAAAUGCCGGGCGCAGUGACUCACGCCUGUAAUCCCAGCACUUUUGGAGGCC
rnacentral:lncRNA from 10 species